GAGUGUAUUUUAGAGUGUUUUAGAGUCUGGUUUAGAGUGUGUGUUUUAGAGUGUAUUUUAGAGUGUUUUAGAGUGUGUCAGCUGUCAGACGUUGGUGUGACAGCAGACAUGAGCUCAGUAGGAUUGAAGCAGGUUUCAGGCCUCGGUGAACACGAAGCUUCAGUCGGUCUCUGCGGCGCCCUCUGCUGCUCCGUCACCACUGCGGAGAGCCACAGGGCCGCUCCGCCACCUCCGCCCGCCCCACCCUGGCAACCGAGCGGCACCGGCAGCUGCCUGUCGCCACGGCAACCGGCCCAGAUCGCCGGUCACCACAAUGUGAGCAAUAUUUUGCAGACGUGCGCUGCAGAUCCUGCAGGAACAGGCGAAAGAUUAGACUGAGCUGAUGAUGAAGAGGAGGAGGAGGAGGAGAGGAAAACGAGGUCACAGCAAACAUGGAGAGCUGCAGCAGGAAGGACGGAGGAAGGACAAAGAGCUGAUCUCAGGUCUCAGCUGUCAGCCUGACUUUGUUUGUUUUAGAAUUUAUUUAUUACAGAAUAAAAGGACUUUCAGGAAGUUUA